rnacentral:rRNA from 1 species
UGGCAAGCGUUGUCCGGAAUUAUUGGGCGUAAAGCGCUCGCAGGCGGUCCUUUAAGUCUGAUGUGAAAGCCCACGGCUCAACCGUGGAGGGUCAUUGGAAACUGGGGGACUUGAGUGCAGAAGAGGAGAGCGGAAUUCCACGUGUAGCGGUGAAAUGCGUAGAGAUGUGGAGGAACACCAGUGGCGAAGGCGGCUCUCUGGUCUGUAACUGACGCUGAGGCGCGAAAGCGUGGGGAGCAAA